rnacentral:rRNA from 1 species
AAGUCAUGACAGCUAGUCUGACGGAGCAUACCGCGUGAGGGAAGACUGCCUAUGGGUUGUAAACCUCUUUUUUCAGGGAGGAAUCAAUGACGUGUACCUGAAGAAUAAGCAUCGGCUAACUCCGUGCCAGCAGCCGCGGUAAGACGGAGGAUGCAAGUGUUAUCCGGAAUCACUGGGCGUAAAGCGUCUGUAGGUGGUUUAAUAAGUCAACUGUUAAAUCUUGAGGCUCAACUUCAAAAUCGCAGUCGAAACUAUUAGACUAGAGUAUAGUAGAGGUAAAGGGAAUUUCCAGUGGAGCGGUGAAAUGCGUAGAUAUUGGAAAGAACACCGAUGGCGAAAGCACUUUACUGGGCUAUUACUAACACUCAGAGACGAAAGCUAGGGUAGCAAAUGGGAUUAGAUACCCCCAGUAGUCCA